CUUAACACAUGCAAGUCGAACGAAGAGCGAUGGAAGCUUGCUUCUAUCAAUCUUAGUGGCGAACGGGUGAGUAACGCGUAAUCAACCUGCCCUUCAGAGGGGGACAACAGUUGGAAACGACUGCUAAUACCGCAUACGAUCUAAUCUCGGCAUCGAGGAUGGAUGAAAGGUGGCCUCUAUUUAUAAGCUAUCACUGAAGGAGGGGAUUGCGUCUGAUUAGCUAGUUGGAGGGGUAACGGCCCACCAAGGCGAUGAUCAGUAGCCGGUCUGAGAGGAUGAACGGCCACAUUGGGACUGAGACACGGCCCAGACUCCUACGGGAGGCAGCAGUGGGGAAUCUUCCGCAAUGGACGAAAGUCUGGCGGAGCAACGCCGCGUGAGUGAUGACGGCCUUCGGGUUGUAAAGCUCUGUUAAUCGGGACGAAAGGCCUUCUUGCGAAUAGUUAGAAGGAUUGACGGUACCGGAAUAGAGAGCCACGGAUAACUACGUUGCCAGCAGCCGCGGUAAUACGUAGGU
rnacentral:rRNA from 1 species